rnacentral:rRNA from 1 species
UACGGGGGGGGGUAAGCGUUGUUCGGAAUUACUGGGCGUAAAGGGCUCGUAGGCGGCCAACUAAGUCGGACGUGAAAUCCCUCAGCUUAACUGGGGAACUGCGUCCGAUACUGGAUGGCUUGGAUUUGGGAGAGGGAUGCGGAAUUCCAGGUGUAGCGGUGAAAUGCGUAGAUAUCUGGAGGAACACCGGUGGCGAAGGCGGCAUCCUGGACCAACACUGACGCUGAGUGAGCGAAAGCCAGGGGAGCAAAACGGGG